rnacentral:rRNA from 1 species
UACGGAGGAUGCAAGCGUUGUCCGGAAUGAUUGGGCGUAAAGCGUCCGCAGGUGGCUGUGUAAGUCUGCUGUUAAAGAGUGAGGCUCAACCUCAUAACGGCAGUGGAAACUACAUGGCUAGAGUGCGGUCGGGGCAGAGGGAAUUCCUGGUGUAGCGGUGAAAUGCGUAGAGAUCAGGAAGAACACCGGUGGCGAAAGCGCUCUGCUGGGCCGCAACUGACACUGAGGGACGAAAGCUAGGGGAGCGAAUGGG